UCUGACAGGAAGUUUAACUCCACAUCGGUAACCAACACCAGCAUCACUGUGACAUGGAGGUCCUUCAGCGAAGAAACCCGGCGCAGUUUAUUCAGACCACACAAUUUCUACUUUUACAAGAUAAGAAUUUCACCGCCAGAGAUUGAUACCAACACUCACCAGGCGUUCUACGAUGAGAAUGUGCUGGAGGCAACUUUUUCCGGACUCACUCCAGGAAAAGAAUACGAAAUUCACUUUGAAGCUGUCGGGGACAACGACGCACUCGUGUUGCAAAACCCUUAUCAUCUGAGACUUAUUACCAAUGCCAUUGUCUCAACUGAUCCUUCUCCAGUGGAGAAAGUUUCCGUUGUCGCUAAGAGCUCAACAUCCGUGACAUUGAACCUGACACCACCGAAGAACGGGUUUGUAGACCUGUUCCAAAUACAGGCAACUUCAGCACAUCAUUCCAGCCCUCUUGUAGAUGUUCCUUACUCAAGGGAAACCUCAGUCCUGGCCACUUUGUCCAAUCUUCUGCCUAAAACUACGUACAAUAUUUCAGCCACAACUGUCAAGAAUGGCCAGAGAGGCCAAGCAGCGUUUGUGAAUGUCA